rnacentral:rRNA from 1 species
UACGAAGGGGGCUAGCGUUGCUCGGAAUCACUGGGCGUAAAGCGCACGUAGGCGGACUCUUAAGUCGGUGGUGAAAUCCUGGAGCUCAACUCCAGAACUGCCUUCGAUACUGAGAGUCUCGAGUCCGAGAGAGGUGAGUGGAACUGCGAGUGUAGAGGUGAAAUUCGUAGAUAUUCGGAGGAACACCAGUGGCGAAGGCGGCUCACUGGUCCAUUACUGACGCUGAGGUGCGAAAGCGUGGGGAGCAAACAGG